CGUAGGCGGCCUUCUAAGUCAGACGUGAAAUCCCCCGGCUUAACCUGGGAACUGCGUCUGAUACUGGGAGGCUAGAGUGCGGGAGAGGGAUGCGGAAUUCCAGGUGUAGCGGUGAAAUGCGUAGAUAUCUGGAGGAACACCGGUGGCGAAGGCGGCAUCCUGGACCGACACUGACGCUGAGGCGCGAAAGCUAGGUAGCAAACG
rnacentral:rRNA from 1 species